rnacentral:rRNA from 1 species
UACGGGGGGGGCAAGCGUUGUUCGGAAUUACUGGGCGUAAAGGGCUCGUAGGUGGCCAACUAAGUCAGACGUGAAAUCCCUCGGCUUAACCGGGGAACUGCGUCUGAUACUGGAUGGCUUGAGUUUGGGAGAGGGACGCGGAAUUCCAGGUGUAGCGGUGAAAUGCGUAGAUAUCUGGAGGAACACCUGCGGUGUAGACGGCUUACUGGACCAUAACUGACGCUGAGGCACGAAAGCGUGGGGAGCAAACAGG